AACCAAUUGGUGGCCUAAGUGGUCAGAACGUCCGCUUCAGAUGCGGGAGGGCGCGGGUUAGAACCCUGGCCGAGUCA